UACGUAGGGCGCGAGCGUUGUCCGGAAUCAUUGGGCGUAAAGAGCUCGUAGGCGGCCUGUCGCGUCUGCUGUGAAAUCCCGGGGCUCAACCCCGGGCGUGCAGUGGGUACGGGCAGACUAGAGUGCGGUAGGGGUGACUGGAAUUCCUGGUGUAGCGGUGGAAUGCGCAGAUAUCAGGAGGAACACCGAUGGCGAAGGCAGGUCACUGGGCCGCAACUGACGCUGAGGAGCGAAAGCAUGGGGAGCGAACAGG
rnacentral:rRNA from 1 species